AAGAAUGGGUAGGGAGGGGACAGGGAGUACGGAAGGUGGAGAGCGUUGUUCGGAAUGUGUGGACGUAAGGGGGUCGUAGGCGGUUCGUGAAGUCAGUGGUGUAGUUCCCGGGGUUAUCCUGGGGGGUGUGUUGGAUACGUGCGGGGGUGAGUUCGGUAGGGGGUCGGUGAAUGCCCAGUGUAGGGGUGAAAUUCGUGGAUAUUGGGAGGAACGCCGGUGGCGAGGGCGGCGGCGUGGUCCGAUACUGACGCUGAGGCGCGAAAGCGUGGGGAGCAAACAGGAUUAGAUACCCGUGUAGUC
rnacentral:rRNA from 1 species